GACGAACGCUGGCGGCGUGCUUAACACAUGCAAGUCGAACGGAAAGGCCCUGCUUUUGUGGGGUGCUCGAGUGGCGAACGGGUGAGUAACACGUGAGUAACCUGCCCUUGACUUUGGGAUAACUUCAGGAAACUGGGGCUAAUACCGGAUAGGAGCUCCUGCUGCAUGGUGGGGGUUGGAAAGUUUCGGCGGUUGGGGAUGGACUCGCGGCUUAUCAGCUUGUUGGUGGGGUAGUGGCUUACCAAGGCUUUGACGGGUAGCCGGCCUGAGAGGGUGACCGGCCACAUUGGGACUGAGAUACGGCCCAGACUCCUACGGGAGGCAGCAGUGGGGAAUAUUGCACAAUGGGCGGAAGCCUGAUGCAGCAACGCCGCGUGCGGGAUGACGGCCUUCGGGCUGUAAACCGCUUUCGCCUGUGACGAAGCGUGAGUGACGGUAAUGGGUAAAGAAGCACCGGCUAACUACGUA
rnacentral:rRNA from 1 species